AUGAUGUGUUUGGGGGACUUGAAUGACAUCCUGUAUGAUAUUGAUGGUUGUAAUGGCUAUGUGAAUUACUAUCGUAUGCAUGCUUUCCGUUCCCUUGUCAAAAAUUGUGGUUUGUUUGAUAUUGGUUAUUGUGGUCCAGCCUAUACUUGGCGCGGUAGACAACACACUUCUAAACCUAUUUAUAGACGCCUUGACCGUUGUUUAGUUAAUUCUGAGUGGUGCAUGCAUUACCCUAAUACCAAGGUUCUUAAUCUGCCUAUUAUUUUGAGUGAUCAUGCCCCCAUUUUGGUGUCUACUGAAGGUAAUUUUGUCAAGCCUCGGCAAACUUUCAAAUUUGAAAAUUGGUGGUUGAUGGAGAAAUAUUUUCAUGCCUUUGCUAAAUCUUCCUGGAAUGCUAGUCCCUCACAUUCUUUUGCAGCAAAAUCCUCUUCUUUGGCAGUGUCUUUGAAAAUGUGGUGCAAGAAGAAGAAGCCUUUUCAGAAUGAUCUUUUGGACUUGGAAGCUCGUAUCAAUCAACUGCAGCAACUUCCUUUACAACAACAGGACCAUAAUUUGGAAACUUCUCUCACUAAUAGGUAUGAGUUCACUCUUUCUAAACUUAAUCAGUUCUAUAAGAACAUAGUAAGAACAAAUGGGCUGUUGCUGGUGACCGUAAUACUAAUUUUUUUCACCAAGCUGUUGUUAAGCGUAGGAAGAGAAAUACCAUUUGCUCUGUUAAGGAUGAGAAUAAUAUGA
rnacentral:rRNA from 1 species